CUAAACUCAAGAUUGGAAGGGCGCAGUUGACUCUCUGGCAGGAUCCAGGCUUGGAUUUUGCUGAGUUCCUAUUACAUGCACAAAAUUGAGCUGUCUGUGUGUAUAUGUGAAGGUGUGGUAUACCAACAUCCUCUAAGACAAGACAUCCCAUCUUGAAAAGAAGCUCUUUUGCAGGAAGUAAAGGUGAACACUCCACACUGUGGAAAAGCUUCUUGAACUUUGGAAUAGUGUCACACAGCCUGGAGUAGCUCAUAUGCACAUAUGCAAAGGCCAGAAUAGGCUGUGGGUGUGUAGGAUCCAUUUCUCUCAAGGACCAGAACCCUAAAGCCUAAUCGGUGAGCAGACAGUUGGGAAUCAGACAUCUCAUCUAUCUUCCGUUUCUCAGUGUGAGCAGAGAUGUGAGGACAGGAGGCUGUGAGUGGG
rnacentral:lncRNA from 1 species